rnacentral:rRNA from 1 species
AUGAUCGUACUGCCGGUGUGGGGGAAGCCCUUGCGGCGCCGUGAACACAUCGGCGAACUCCUCCAACAGAUCAGCGAGCGGCGUCUGACUGGCGCACUUACGCCGCGGUGGUGGUGCGCGGCCGCAAGUGUCCACCAUGGCCAUCGCCCACACGUCGUUGCCCGCGAUCAUCUUGCGCAACUUGUCUGGUUUGAUCGCCUUGAGGGUGGUGGAUGCCUUCGUGGGCACGCCCCGGAGCGUGACCUCUUCGUCUUCGUGAGUGAACUUGACCCAUUUGUCCUGCCAGUGGAAGGUCAUGGGACUGUGCUGGGCGAGCCAGUACAUGCCAAGGAUGCCGUCGUAGGCGCCAAUGUCCAGUUCGCGCAUCGGAGUGGCGAACAUGUGCCCUUGCAUCCGCCACUUGAGCUCGGGGACGAUGCGGUUGCAGGAAAGACGGUCACCGUUGGCGACGCGCACGUCCACGCGCGACAUUUCUUCUGUCUUCAACCCGAGACGAUCAACAAAAGACUUGUUGACGAAGCUAUGCGAGCUGCCCGAAUCCAGGAGAAGCAGCAUGACCUGGUUGCCCACCAGUGCGCGCAGGCGGAUCGUGGUCGCCGAGUCCGUGCCGUCCAGAGCGUGCGACGAGAGGAGGCAGCACUCGGGAGCGUCCCCAGCAGGAGUGGGCGGCUGCGCGACCGGUCCAGGGUCGUCGAGAAGUUGCAGAGCGUGGAUGGUGUCGUCGGAGAGCACCUCGCCGUGAUCCCCGAUGCUGAUGGUGAGCAGCUGGGCGGGCUGAGCGCACCGGUGCUCCCGCGAGUAGCGGUCGCCGCACUUGAAACACAAAUUAUUGGCGCGGCGAUAGUCGCGCAGUUGCCGCUCGCGCGCGUAGUCGUCCGUGGGGGCGUGGUUGGGCGCGGCCGCCCGUGGUUGUUGUGGCGCGCCGCCGGUGGGGGUCGCCCCGCUGGUGUGAUGCGUGGGCGCGCGCGCGUCGUGCCCAGUUCCUCCUCUUGA